UCGGUCCCAAGGGUUGGGCUGUUCGCCCAUUAAAGCGGUACGCGAGCUGGGUUCAGAACGUCGUGAGACAGUUCGGUCCCUAUCCGUCGCGGGCGCAGGAAAUUUGAGAGGAGCUGUCCUUAGUACGAGAGGACCGGGAUGGACGCACCGCUGGUGUACCAGUUGUUCUGCCAAGGGCAUCGCUGGGUAGCUAUGUGCGGACGGGAUAAGUGCUGAAAGCAUCUAAGCAUGAAGCCCCCCUCAAGAUGAGAUUUCCCAUUCCGCAAGGAAGUAAGAUCCCUGAAAGAUGAUCAGGUUGAUAGGUCUGAGGUGGAAGCGUGGUGACACGUGGAGCUGACAGAUACUAAUAGAUCGAGGACUUAACCUU
rnacentral:rRNA from 1 species